rnacentral:rRNA from 1 species
AUACGGAGGGAGCGAGCGUUAAUCGGAAUUACUGGGCGUAAAGCGCGCGUAGGCGGCUUUGUAAGUCGGAUGUGAAAGCCCUGGGCUUAACCUGGGAAUGGCAUUCGAUACUGCAUAACUAGAGUAUGGUAGAGGGAAGUGGAAUUUCCGGUGUAGCGGUGAAAUGCGUAGAUAUCGGAAGGAACACCAGUGGCGAAGGCGACUUCCUGGGCCAAUACUGACGCUGAGGUGCGAAAGCGUGGGGAGCAAACAGGAUUAGAUACCCCAGUAGUCC